rnacentral:rRNA from 1 species
GUGAAAUUCCGUCGGAAUCUGGGAGGACCAUCUCCUAAGGCUAAAUACUCUCUAGUGACCGAUAGUGAACCAGUACCGUGAGGGAAAGGUGAAAAGCACCCCGGAAGGGGAGUGAAAUAGAACCUGAAACCGUGUGCUUACAAGUAGUCAGAGCCCGUUAAUGGGUGAUGGCGUGCCUUUUGUAGAAUGAACCGGCGAGUUACGAUUUGAUGCAAGGUUAAGCAGUAAAUGUGGAGCCGUAGCGAAAGCGAGUCUGAAUAGGGCGUUUAGUAUUUGGUCGUAGACCCGAAACCAGGUGAUCUACCCUUGGUCAGGUUGAAGUUCAGGUAACACUGAAUGGAGGACCGAACCGACUUACGUUGAAAAGUGAGCGGAUGAACUGAGGGUAGCGGAGAAAUUCCAAUCGAACCUGGAGAUAGCUGGUUCUCUCCGAAAUAGCUUUAGGGCUAGCCUCAAGUGAUGAUUAUUGGAGGUAGAGCACUGUUUGGACGAGGGGCCCCUCUCGGGUUACCGAAUUCAGACAAACUCCGAAUGCCAAUUAAUUUAACUUGGGAGUCAGAACAUGGGUGAUAAGGUCCAUGUUCGAAAGGGAAACAGCCCAGACCACCAGCUAAGGUCCCAAAAUAUAUGUUAAGUGGAAAAGGAUGUGGCGUUGCCCAGACAACUAGGAUGUUGGCUUAGAAGCAGCCAUCAUUUAAAGAGUGCGUAAUAGCUCACUAGUCGAGUG